rnacentral:rRNA from 1 species
AGCGAACGCUGGCGGCAGGCUUAACACAUGCAAGUCGAGCGGGCACUUUCGGGUGUCAGCGGCGGACGGGUGCGUAACGCGUGGGAACGUGCCCUCUGGUUCGGAAUAACUCAGGGAAACUUGAGCUAAUACCGGAUACGCCCUUUUGGGGAAAGGCUUGCUGCCGGAGGAUCGGCCCGCGUCUGAUUAGCUAGUUGGUGAGGUAACGGCUCACCAAGGCGACGAUCAGUAGCUGGUCUGAGAGGAUGAUCAGCCACACUGGGACUGAGACACGGCCCAGACUCCUACGGGAGGCAGCAGUGGGGAAUAUUGGACAAUGGGCGCAAGCCUGAUCCAGCCAUGCCGCGUGAGUGAUGAAGGCCUUGGGGUUGUAAAGCUCUUUUAUCCGGGACGAUAAUGACGGUACCGGAGGAAUAAGCCCCGGCUAACUUCGUG